AACCGACACAGGUGGUCAGGUAGAGAAUACCAAGGCGCUUGAGAGAACUCGGGUGAAGGAACUAGGCAAAAUGGUGCCGUAACUUCGGGAGAAGGCACGCUGACAUGUAGGUGAAGUGAUUUACUCAUGGAGCUGAAGUCAGUCGAAGAUACCAGCUGGCUGCAACUGUUUAUUAAAAACACAGCACUGUACAAACACGAAAGUGGACGUAUACGGUGUGACGCCUGCACGGU
rnacentral:rRNA from 1 species